CUUUUAUAUCUCUAUUUUAUUCUAGACAGUUUCACCUUUAACUCCUAUCUAUGGGAGUCGAAGCCGGACUGAAAGCAAAGCGGAUUGAAGGUGUUAAAUGGGCAUGAAACAGCUGCAAUGCGGAGGACGACGACAACGAAAAGGGACAACUGGAAGGACAACAACUCGCAGGACAAUCACCAAAUAAAUACAAACAACAUGGGCAUUGAGAGUUUUUCCGAAACCCCCCUCCGCUUUUUCCUCCCGAAAAAGCUCAAAGGACGAGCACCGAAAAUUCCCAAUUGUUAAUGCAUGUUGGUAUAGGGUCCCUGGCAUUGGGGAGAUCGAUCGGCAAUGUCGACGACUCCGGUCAUAUGUAAAUACCAAUUUACGCUACGGAAAUGUCAGCACAACAAUUACAACAGUCAUGGGGCAGACCCAUUGGACCUUUAACCCUUUGAGAGGCCGUUUUAACAGGAAUGCGAGGUGUGCAGCCUGCUCCCUGUUCACUGUUUGCUUUUAAUUUUGUUUCUAGGCAUAUUAAUUUCCACAUCGAUUGGGAAAAUACA
rnacentral:sRNA from 1 species